rnacentral:rRNA from 1 species
CUACGGGGUGCUGCAGUGAGGAAUAUUGGUCAAUGGGCGCAAGCCUGAACCAGCCAUGCCGCGUGCAGGAAGAAUGCCCUAUGGGUUGUAAACUGCUUUUAUUUGGGAAUAAACCUUUCUACGUGUAGGAAGCUGAAGGUACCAAAUGAAUAAGCACCGGCUAACUCCGUGCCAGCAGCCGCGGUAAUACGGAGGGUGCAAGCGUUAUCCGGAAUCAUUGGGUUUAAAGGGUCCGCAGGCGGAUUUAUAAGUCAGUGGUGAAAGCCUACAGCUUAACUGUAGAACUGCCAUUGAUACUGUAAGUCUUGAAUUCGGUCGAAGUGGGCGGAAUGUGUAGUGUAGCGGUGAAAUGCAUAGAUAUUACACAGAACACCGAUAGCGAAGGCAGCUCACUAGGCCUGGAUUGACGCUCAGGGACGAAAGCGUGGGGAUCAAACAGGAUUAGAUACCCGCGUAGUC